rnacentral:rRNA from 1 species
AUGAAUAACUUUGCUGCACAAGGAAACUCAGGUACGGAUUGGGUCUUUGAUUCAGAGGCCUCUAGUCAUAUGUCUGCAUCUAGUAAUUGGUUAUCUUCUUGCACUAAAUCUCCUUUCCCUUCCAUUAUCCUUGGAGAUGGAUCAUCUAUUUCUAUAUAUUGUGUUGGUCAGGCUCAACUUCCCUCUUCCACCAAACCUCUUUUACUUCGCGAUGUUCUAGUUGCACCCGCCCUCAUUAAAAAUCUUAUCUCUGUUCGCCAAUUUACUUGCGACAAUCUAGUUUCGGCUGAAUUUGACCCUUUGGUUUAUCUGUGA